rnacentral:tRNA from 1 species
AGGUCUUUGGCAGUUAUGGUUAAUGCGCUUGCCUGAAGAGCAAGAUAAAUCGGUUCGAUCCCGAUAGGGCCUACCA